rnacentral:pre_miRNA from 14 species
AACUGUGGAGUGAAAGAUCCCCGAAGGGAGACCUUUACUCAAGUCUCGGGAAGUCACGGACCCCAGACACAGAGAGACCA